rnacentral:rRNA from 1 species
ACGACCGGCGCACGGGUGCGUAACGCGUAUACAAUCUACCUUUUACAGAGGGAUAGCCCAGAGAAAUUUGGAUUAAUAUCUCAUAGUAUUAUAAAGUGGCAUCAUUUAAUAAUUAAAACUUCGGUGGUAAAAGAUGAGUAUGCGUUCUAUUAGCUAGUAGGUAAGGUAACGGCUUACCUAGGCAACGAUAGAUAGGGGUCCUGAGAGGGAGAUCCCCCACACUGGUACUGAGAUACGGACCAG